rnacentral:lncRNA from 1 species
UUACAUACAUUAUGGAGCUCUAAAUACAAGGCCCAAAAAUAAUGAAACCUUAAUCUAAUAUGUACUAAGAUAAGUGGGUUCAUACUUAGCCCAUGAGCCCGAAAUCUACCCAAAGGCUCAUGAGAAUCCUAUGGUCUUCUCUUGCAUCUUUGGCUCAAUCUUCUUUGAGUCUUCUAUCCAAUGCCCUUGCGGGGUAGGAUUGCAUCACAUUGAUAUCACUUAACUUAUAAUAUUCAAUAAUUCACUAAUUAUUUUACAAAUUAUAGGAUCCAAAACAAAUAACAUAAUCAAACAAUUUUAGAAUAAUAAACUUUUUUCUCUUGCUUUGUAAGAAUGCAAUUCCUCUCUAUUUC